rnacentral:rRNA from 1 species
UACGAAGGGGGCUAGCGUUGCUCGGAAUCACUGGGCGUAAAGCGCACGUAGGCGGCUUCUUAAGUCAGGGGUGAAAUCCUGGAGCUCAACUCCAGAACUGCCCUUGAUACUGAGGAGCUCGAGUCCGGAAGAGGUGAGUGGAACUGCGAGUGUAGAGGUGAAAUUCGUAGAUAUUCGCAAGAACACCAGUGGCGAAGGCGAGUCUCUGGACAUUUCCUGACGCUGAGGCACGAAAGCCAGGGGAGCAAACGGG